CACGUAGGGUGCGAGCGUUGUCCGGAAUUAUUGGGCGUAAAGAGCUCGUAGGCGGUGUGUCGCGUCGGCCGUGAAAACCUGCAGCUUAACUGUGGGCUUGCGGUCGAUACGGGCAUCACUGGAGUUCGGCAGGGGAGACUGGAAUUCCUGGUGUAGCGGUGAAAUGCGCAGAUAUCAGGAGGAACACCGGUGGCGAAGGCGGGUCUCUGGGCCGGAUACUGACGC
rnacentral:rRNA from 1 species